rnacentral:rRNA from 2 species
UGGGGAAUCUUAGACAAUGGGCGCAAGCCUGAUCUAGCCAUGCCGCGUGAGCGAUGAAGGCCUUAGGGUUGUAAAGCUCUUUCGCUGGGGAAGAUAAUGACUGUACCCAGUAAAGAAGCCCCGGCUAACUCCGUGCCAGCAGCCGCGGUAAUACGGAGGGGGCUAGCGUUAUUCGGAAGUACUGGGCGUAAAGCGCAUGUAGGCGGACCAGAAAGUUGGAGGUGAAAGUCCAGGGCUCAACCUUGGAACUGCCUUCAAAACUUCUGGUCUUGAGUUCGAGAGAGGUGAGUGGAAUUCCGAGUGUAGAGGUGAAAUUCGUAGAUAUUCGGAGGAACACCAGUGGCGAAGGCGGCUCACUGGCUCGAUACUGACGCUGAGGUGCGAAAGCGUGGGGAGCAAACAGG